rnacentral:SRP_RNA from 1 species
CGUCGGUCCCUUCGCAACGUGAAACCGUGAACCCGGUCAGGCCCGGAAGGGAGCAGCCGCAGCGGUGGCAACGUGUGCCGGGGUGCGGCUGGCGCGG